AGGACAAACGCUGGCGGCGUGCAUAAAACAUGCAAGUCGAACGGACUUCAGUCCGCAAGGACUGAAGUGAGUGGCGAACGGCUGAGUAACACGUAGGUGACCUGCCCCGAAGUUUGGGAUAACACCUCGAAAGAGGUGCUAAUACCGGAUGUGACCACCGAUUCAUUUCGGUGCUUAAAGUCGCAAGACGCUUUGGGAGGGCCUGCGGCGGAUUAGCUAGUUGGUGUGGUAACGGCACACCAAGGCUUCGAUCCGUAGCUGGUCUGAGAGGAUGGCCAGCCAGACUGGGACUGAGACACGGCCCAGACUCCUACGGGAGGCAGCAGUUAGGAAUUUGCGCAAUGGAGGAAGCUCUGACGCAGCCACGCCGCGUGGGGAUGAAGGCCUUCGGGUCGUAAACCUCUUUUCUCAGGAAGACACCCGACGGUACCUGAGGAAUAAGCAACGGCUAAACUACGUGCCAGCAGCCGC
rnacentral:rRNA from 1 species